rnacentral:rRNA from 1 species
GGAUUAGGCAUGCAAGUCGAACGAGAAAGGUUUCGCAAGAGACCCUGUAAAGUGGCGGAAGGGUGAGUAAUGCAUAAAUAACUUACCUCUGAGAAGGGGAUAACUUCUCGAAAGAGAAGCUAAUACCCUAUGAGACCACGAGUCGCAUGAUUUGUGCUUAAAGAUGGGGACCCGCAAGGGCCUUUCGCUCAGAGAGAGAUUUAUGUCCUAUUAGCUAGUUGGUGAGAUAGCAGCUCACCAAGGCAAUGAUGGGUAGCCGACCUGAGAGGGUGACCGGCCACACUGGGACUGAGACACUGCCCAGACUCCUACGGGAGGCUGCAGUCGAGGAUCUUCCGCAAUGCGCGAAAGCGUGACGGAGCGACGCCGCGUGGGUGAUGAAGGCCUUCGGGUUGUAAAGCCCUGUUACCUGGGAAGAAUGGUGAGUGGUGAAUAGCCAUUUACUUGACGUUACCAGGAGAGGAAGCACCGGCUAAAUACGUGCCAGCAGCCGCGGUAAUAUGUAUGGUGCUAACGUUGUUCGGAAUCACUGGGCAUAAAGAGCACGUAGGCGGUUGAGCAAGUCCAUUGUGAAAUCCCCCGGCUUAACUGGGGAACUGCAUUGGAUACUACUUGACUUGAGUGCAGGAGGGGAGAGUGGAAUUCCAGGUGGAGCGGUGAAAUGCGUAGAUAUCUGGAGGAACGCCGGUGGCGAAAGCGACUCUCUGGUCUGUUACUGACGCUGAGGUGCGAAAGCUAGGGGAGCAAACGGGAUUAGAUACCCCGGUAGUCCUAGCCCUAAACGAUGGGCACUAAGUAGAGGGGUUUU